UGGUGCGUACAUUGCUGCUAUCGUGCCGGGGAUACAGCCGCUGUGGAAGGUGAAGCUGGAUUGUUGCUGGUCGAUACGGGAUGGCGUUGUAUCAUACACGGACUAAGGAUGUCGAUAUGAUGGAAUAUUCGUUAUAACUUUGUGGAAAACCACAGUCACUAUGAGGGCCCUCCUAAAACGCUGGUUACUGCUUGCACUUUCAGGGACGACACUGACUUUGAUACUCCAACGAAACGGAGCAGCACUGCAGCCCAGACUGGAGGACAUAUUCAGGCCAAAACACCAGGCAUAACAUCAGCAGAUCCUUCAAAAGGAAGUACAUUCUCCACGCUGGUGUUGGUUCAAAGGUUGGGUGAGUUGGCGAUAAAGCCUGCUAAAACAUUGAGAGCAAAGACUACAGCCGUUUGGAUGAAGUUUCAAAAUCAACAAAUUAGGAGAAAGAUGACGAAGAUCAGCGAACGCUUACUUGGGAAGAGAGAUAAACACACAUUGUUGACGACUUUAAAUGUGUUUUUGGCCGUUUUGAACAAAUCCCAGAUUGGCUACAUGAUUUAUGGUGGGACGCUCCUAGGUUCCUGGAGACACCAUGGAUUUAUACCUUGGGAUGACGAUAUAGAUAUACUCAUGGACGUCAAUGACAAACCAAAGCUUUUAAAUGCUUGUAAAGCUAUACAAAACUACACUGCAAUGAACGCGGGAAGUAGGAUCAAGUUCUACUCCGACAACGCUCCAGUGAUGACUAAUUUUGGGUGGAAAUGGCCGUAUUUAGAUUUGCAGUUCUAUACUAGUAAUACGACGCAUAUAUGGGACGUUGCUAGUGAAUUCUCAAAAACCAAGUAUUUAAGAGAUUACACAUUUCCACUUCAUGUAAGACCAUUUGAAGGACUAGACGUCCUUGCGCCAGCGAAAUCAUUAAGGUUUCUUUGGACAUAUUACGGUCAGACUCAAACCUGCAGCACAGGAUGGUAUACCCACAGAGAAGAAAGGGCAGCGUCGUCUGUGCACGUUCCGUGCAAGCAGUUCGCCGACCUUUACCCUUUUGUUCAUCGGCGUGUGAAAGAUGGGUUAAUGGAAGAAACUCUUAAGUUUAAAAACCAUACGAUGAAACAGAGACUAGUCAAUGAACCAUUAGAUUCUAUAUCGGAUCCAUAUGGUUUGAUUUUGUUAGGCAAAUCGUAAUCAACUGCUGAGGUUUCAAAAUGGGCAGGGCAAUUUCGAGUAAAAGGUUUUUAAAAAAUGUGUUAAACAUGUCUACGUUCUAUUAAAUUAACCAGACCUCAGUCUUCAGUUUUGUUGGUGAUACAGUCAGUGAGAGUAUGUAGACUAAAGCAUGGCCGUGACUGGUAUUCACUUUAGACUUCAGGACAAACCAUGGCCGUGACUAUUUACCUUCGGACUUCAGGACAUUAAAGCAUGCUAGUGACAAGUCACAUUCAGCGAUUUGAACUACAUCAUCAAACAUUCGGUACUGAGCGAUAUGAAAGUGAAGAAAGUGAAGAAAUGAUAUUAUAUAUUGAAAACAAUUACACUUACUUGCAACUUCGUACGAGCGAUGAUCUGCUAUCUCAUCAGGAUAGUUUUAAUCUAACGAUUUAAUCUCAUCGAUAGCACCAAUGAUGCAUUUUAUUCGCCUACCCGAUUUUGCCAAUAUUGGUUUGUAUUAGCAAUCGAGCGUCUGUUGCUAUGCCUACGAAAAAAAGUGUUGUUUGCACAAUAUCGCCGAAUAAUUUUAUAUCCAGGGCAACGUAUCU